rnacentral:rRNA from 1 species
UACAGAGGAGCCAAGCGUUGUCCGGAUUGACUGGGCGUAAAGCGCACGCAGGCGGCACCGCGCGUGGGGUGUGAAAUCUGGCCGCUUAACGGCCAGGCGCCAUCCCAUACGGCGGAGCUGGAGUGAUGCAGAGGUCGAUGGAAUUGCCGGUGUAGUGGUGAAAUGCGUAGAUAUCGGGAGGAACACCUGCGGUGUAGACGGCUUACUGGACCGUGACUGACGCUGAGGCACGAAAGCGUGGGUAGCAAACAGG